rnacentral:misc_RNA from 1 species
CGAAUCAAACCUCUGCCCGUCGCGCUGGCCAUUCGGCCGCGCUUCGUGGUGGACAAACACCCAUGUGCACCUUUGACGUCUUUUGGCGGUCCCCUCGUAGUCUCGCGCGAGCGAGGCGUCGUUGUGCGUGAGGGUAACUCUUCACGCUCUUGGGCCGCCAGCAGUUGAAAAACACCCAGUAUUUUUUUUGCCUGAAACCAAAUGAGAAGCAAUGAGAAA